AUGAACGCUAGCGGGAGGCCUAACACAUGCAAGCCGAGCGGUAUUUCUUCUUCGGAAGAGAGAGAGCGGCGUACGGGUGCGUAACACGUGUGCAACCUGCCUUUAUCUGGGGGAUAGCCUUUCGAAAGGAAGAUUAAUACCCCAUAAUAUAUUGACUGGCAUCAGUUAAUAUUGAAAACUCCGGUGGAUAGAGAUGGGCACGCGCAAGAUUAGAUAGUUGGUGAGGUAACGGCUCACCAAGUCUGUGAUCUUUAGGGGGCCUGAGAGGGUGAUCCCCCACACUGGUACUGAGACACGGACCAGACUCCUACGGGAGGCAGCAGUGAGGAAUAUUGGACAAUGGGUGAGAGCCUGAUCCAGCCAUCCCGCGUGAAGGACGACGGCCCUAUGGGUUGUAAACUUCUUUUGUACAGGGAUAAACCCAGAUACGUGUAUCUGGCUGAAGGUACUGUACGAAUAAGCACCGGCUAACUCCGU
rnacentral:rRNA from 1 species